CGGGUGAGUAACACGUGGGUAACCUGCCUCAAAGUGGGGGAUAGCCUUUCGAAAGGAAGAUUAAUACCGCAUAAGCCUCCGGUGCCGCAUGGUGCUGAAGGAAAAGGAGCAAUUCGCUUUGAGAUGGACCCGCGGCGCAUUAGCUAGUUGGUGAGGUAACGGCUCACCAAGGCCACGAUGCGUAGCCGACCUGAGAGGGUGAUCGGCCACAUUGGAACUGAGACACGGUCCAGACUCCUACGGGAGGCAGCAGUGGGGAAUAUUGCACAAUGGGCGAAAGCCUGAUGCAGCAACGCCGCGUGAGUGAUGAAGGCCUUCGGGUCGUAAAGCUCUUUGAUCAGGGAUGAUAAUGACAGUACCUGAAAAACAAGCCACGGCUAACUACGUGCCAGCAGCCGCGGUAAUACGUAGGUGGCGAGCGUUGUCCGGAAUUACUGGGCGUAAAGGAUGCGUAGGUGGAUACUUAAGUGGGAUGUGAAAUCCCCGGGCUCAACCCGGGAACUGCAUUCCAAACUGGGUAUCUAGAGUGCAGGAGAGGAAAGCGGAAUUCCUAGUGUAGCGGUGAAAUGCGUANAUAUUAGGAGGAACACCAGUGGCGAAGGCGGCUUUCUGGACUGUAACUGACACUGAGGCAUGAAAGCGUGGGUAGCAAAACAGGAUUAAAUAC
rnacentral:rRNA from 1 species